ACACUUCCUAUACUAAUUCAAUCAUUAUUGCUUAAUUUAAUUAAUUAAAAUAAACAACCUAAUAGAAAAUUAAAGAAAAUACAAAUCAUAUAAAAAAGUAGUAAACUAUAACAUCCUUAAAUAAAUAGAAAAUUCUAAUCCUAUUAACCACUUAAUAAAACCAACUUUUAAAAUAUUUAGAAGCUUAUCCCUCUAAACUUUUAACUUUAAAUUAAUAUAAACUAAAAAUAGUAAACAUUAAAAUUAAAGAAUAAAUUAAAUUCAUCUCUUAAAUAACCAGAUAUAAUUAAAAACGAAUAACGUUUCAUU
rnacentral:rRNA from 1 species